rnacentral:rRNA from 1 species
CAGUCGCCGCGGGAAUACGUAGGGUGCAAGCGUUAAUCGGAAUUACUGGGCGUAAAGCGUGCGCAGGCGGUUAUAUAAGACAGAUGUGAAAUCCCCGGGCUCAACCUGGGACCUGCAUUUGUGACUGUAAAGCUAGAGUACGGUAGAGGGGGAUGGAAUUCCGCGUGUAGCAGUGAAAUGCGUAGAUAUGCGGAGGAACACCGAUGGCGAAGGCAAUCCCCUGGACCUGUACUGACGCUCAUGCACGAGAGCGUGGGGAGCAAACAGGAUUAGAUACCCCUGUAGUCCCUGUCUCUUAUAC